GUCGAGAGAGAGGAGGGGGCCCCUAUAUUCUGGAGACGGGUCCGAUUGUAUUAAAGUGUGGGCCAAUGAUUGAGAAGGCGACUGGCGGACGACUGGUGUUAUCGAGAGGGGACGCCGUGUUUAAUGUCACCAGGAGCGAUAGGGAUAGGCGGGACCCGUUGGAUGUGCCGGGUGUGUAUGGGAUGGGGUUGGAUAAUAAAGAUGCCAACGAGGAAGAAAUAUAUAUCGGUUCAGCAGCCGGGUCCAUUGGGAAAGGGUUGCAUGAGCGUGGGGGUGACCGAGAGAGAAAUAAGGGUGGUGCGGCCCUGGCAGACGGGUUGGGGGCCUUUGAUGCUGCACCGAGGUGGCAAGGGGCGGAGGCCCUGAAUAUAGUGGCGGAUCCGCAAAGGCUUAAAGCUGCGGAAGCUUUAGAAGUUUAUGAUGGAGAGGCGAAGGGUAGG
rnacentral:lncRNA from 1 species